rnacentral:rRNA from 1 species
UGAGUAACCUGCCCUGGACUUUGGGAUAACCCUCGGAAACGGGGCUAAUACCGGAUAUGACGGCUCACCGCAUGGUGUGGUUGUGGAAAGUUUUUCGGUCUGGGAUGGGCUCGCGGCCUAUCAGCUUGUUGGUAGGGUGAUGGCCCACCAAGGCGACGACGGGUAGCCGGCCUGAGAGGGUGACCGGCCACACUGGGACUGAGACACGGUCCAGACUCCUACGGGAGCA